UUUUCAAUAAAUUUUCAUAGUAGAUAUAUCACAGUUAUUUUAAUCAUUCUCUGUUUCUACAGAUGUUUAUCUAUGAGUCGUUUGGCGCGGAGAACAUGACAACCAAUAUCAGUCUCCUUCUCAUUGUUGGAUUUUUGGUGAAUGGACCAUAUGCUCUCAUCACCACCGCUGUCUCAGCUGAGUUGGGAACACACAGUUCUCUUCAGGGAAACUCAAGAGCACUGGCAACUGUUACAGCAAUCAUAGAUGGCACCGGAUCCAUUGGCGCUGCAGUCGGCCCAUUGCUUGCAGGUGUGAUUUCUUCGUAUGGUUGGCGCAAUGUGUUUUAUAUGCUCAUGGUGUCUGAUGUAAUGGCGCUCGUGGUGAGUACUGUAAGGCUGAUUUUAGCAGUAACUAAACAGUCAGGAUAACUGUGAUCAAACAUGCUAAAUUUUUAAGUUUCAAAAAUUAUAGUGGGCCUCAAUUAACUUAGGCACUAAAUCGGUGAUAAGUGAGUCGUAUUUUACUUUUUUUUUUUAUCCGUCUUUAAUGGAAUGAGGGGGCACAGUGAUCACUCAAGGCAAAUGAUCCUUACAACAGGCCAUGGCUGAUGUCUUCCUCAACAUCCUUGUUCUGUGACUGGUGUUAUUGUCUCUAAUGACCUCACUGUUAACAGAAUGUGAAAAGAAAAAAAAAAGUGUGCUUGCUACACCGGAGAGACAUCCCUGCCAGAAAACUGUGUGAGGUGUGAUGACUGACGUGGAGCCGUGGUGGACUGACGAGCUCUGAAGAAGAUAGGAGUGCCCUGAGUAAACCAGCCCGCUCACUGGAGCAGCCGUGUUUUCCUGUUGCGGGAAGCCUCGGUGUGGGCCCGCUGGGGCUUUGCAACGUGGAUCGACUUGGUGCAGGUUGUGAUGUACUUAAUGUCAUCAUGACUUCUGUUUUCUGCCCAAAAACUUUCUGGGCUAUCAGUAAAUUAAUGGUUGUGCUGCUGGAAGUAAGUUAUUCUAAAAAUAUUAGCGUGUUGAUAUUCAAAAUACAUAGUUACUCACUGGUUGAAUAGUUGGAAUUAUCAAAAGCUGCUUGGAGCUGCCCAUAUACCAAAAAAAGGAACACAUGCAGUGCUUGAUGUCAGAUUUAGAUUGUUUUAUUUUUGAGUAUUUAAAUGAUUUUUUUCUCCAAUGUUUGCUCUGGGAUAUAAUGUUAGCUUAUAUAUAAUUAUUUCAAUUUAUUGUUCAACUUAUUACUACACCCUAUUUUUUAAAAAAAACUACGUAUUGAGGGGCCACUGGAAAGUUAUGUUAUAUCGUGGAUUUUUUUUAUAUGGCAGUAAUAUUUAUGACAGAGUGAAUCAAUUUGCUGGGGAGAUAGUGGAGAUAUUCAAGUUCUAUCAAGUGUGUGUAUAAUAAAUUUCCUCAUGUACCUGUUUCUGUAAUGAUAGUUUUAUUUUUUCUUAUUGUAAGUGCUUGAAAAAAGUGUGUUUGUAAAAAAACAUACUGUAGCAGAUUAGAGAAUUUAAAAUGUGUUAGAAUGUGGAAAAUAUGCUUGCAAUUAAAGCAUUUUAUUUUUGAAGUUAAUUGUUUGUUUCUAAAACAGCACUAUGUUGAAAAGAAUUAUUUUGGUAAAAAUAAUUAUACUUUUCAAUUUUGUUCUAGUUUCUGAUAAGGCUGGUUCUGUCAGAAGUGCGAUCGUGCUUCUCUUCUGAAGAAGUAAGAUACAGCUGAUACGCAAGUCCUUCGCUAAUAUAAAGAAGUAAGGUACAGCUCUCUUCGUGUGGAUGUAAAUAUAUCUUCUUAUCCCCACUGGUUUAAAGGUUACUACAUUUGUAAAAUAUUACGGUACUGUGUUGUUUUGUCAGUAACAAAGUCAAUACUUAAGUUGACUUUUUUAGUUUAUAACAUUUACAGUGGGUUCCAAUAUUCACAGAUUUCACUAGCCAGUGGUUUUAGUAACGUCAACCUGGCUGACGAGUACUGGUAUGAGAUGUUGAUAGGCACCUUAUCUGACUAGAAGGAUUACCGAGUACACAGAACUUACUGGAUCUGUUGAUGUUGUGUGGUGUAAGUGAAAUCAUAUUUUGGUGCACCAUUUCAGUUUAAUGCAACAUAGAAAUACAAAGCUCCAAGAAAAAAAAAAAUUUUUUUUCAUAAAAAUAUUUAAUUUGGAAGUAAUAUGCAAACAAAAAUACAUUAACUAUCUGAAGUUUUUUAAGUCAAUGGUGAAUUAAAAUCAGAGAAAUUAAAAUGCACAGUUUAAAUGUUUUUUAUUUAUAUAAAACAAAAAAAUACUGGCAAGCAUCACAAAAAAACUGAUAGAGGUGAGACAAUUGUUUACUUCUCAUUUUUUAUUAUUACAAAUGAUCACUGAUUCAACAGUGAUGUCGGUGCUCAGUAUCAGUAAUAACAGAACCCACUGUUUAUGAGACUAAAUAUAGAUGUUUUCAAUUAAGCUUUUAGAGUUACUUUCAGUUUAAUUCUGUUGUAACAUUUUAUCAUGUGAUUUUAAUUGUUUACUUGUUUUCAUAAUGUAACAGUUGACUCAUUCACUUGCAGUACCGGUCAAAAGUUUAAGACCACCCCAUAAAGUUAGAAAAAUUUUAAUUUACAUCUACGAAAUGUGAAUACAGUGCAAUACAGAAAUUAUACAAUGUAUGGAAAACAUUGUAAGUGUGUCUAGUAGUCUAUAGAACCACCAUUGCGUUGUAUGCAUUCACGAACACUUGAUGGCAUGCUACUGACCAAUUUCAGGCACAUCUCCUGGCUGAUCUCAUUCCACACUAACGAGAUUUGCCGGCGCAGUUCUGCUACCGAUGUCAGUUGAUAGGAUGAAAGACACUGUCCAAUUAUAUUCCACAUAUUCUCUAUUGGGCUGAGGUUUGGGCUUCGAGCAGGCCAAGGCAGAACAGCAAUUUCAUUUUCCUGGAGCCAGGCCGUAGUUGCACGAGACUUGUGGCAAGGUGCGUGGUCCUGUUGAAAUGCAAAAUAACCCUGGUGGAGCCUGCGUCCAGAGGGCAGCAUGUUCUCACUGAGUGUGCAUAUGUACUCUUUUGAAUCCAUAGUCCCUUCAAGGAAACGUAGAAUUCCAGUCCUGGCAGCUGACAUGCAUCCCCAUACCAUGACGGCACCACCUCCGCAUUGCACAGCAGGGGCCAAACACUCGGGGAGGUACCGUUCUGUGGGUGUGCGGCGAACACCGACCUUGCGUGACGGAAAAAGCUGGAAACGAGACUCGUCGCUAAACAAAACCUUAUCCCAGUGCUCCAUACCCCAGUUUUUCUUGUCACGACACCACAAAAUUCUAGCACGUCGUGUUUUUACAGUUAGCAUUGGCUUUUUCAGUGGGGAAUACGAGUGCAGACCUUGUCGACAAAGAUGGCGUCCAACUGUCCUCUGUGACACAUGUUUACCAGUCUUGUCUGUAAACACUUGUAAAACAGCUGGAACACUGGCACUGCGAUUUGCUUUAGCAAUCAUGCCGAUCGUACGGUCUUGGCGUGGCGACGUGACUUGCGGUCGUCCGCUGCGUGGCAAGUCUUUCACGGCACCGCUCGCAUGAUAUUUGCGAAUAGUGUUCGUCACACAUGUCAUUACAUUUAACAGCCUGGCAAUCUGUCUAUGGGUUUUGUCGCACUUGCUCAUACCGAUUAUUUCCCAUGUAACGCUGUCUGACACACUGGUCAAGUAAUUUCCGUAAUGCGACAGGGCUGCAAACGGGUGAAAAUUUCUCUGAACACCGCACACGCACAAAAUGUGAACUAUAUUGCUAUCUAUUGAGCAGAAGAUGAACUACGCGCAGGAAGAAAGCAGGCUUCUGUAGCUUACUCGAUAGUUAAGUUAUGAAUUUUUAAAAAUCAUGUAAAAGAGUGCUCUUUUGUAAAAAAUUUUUUUCAAUAAAUGUGCCCGGCUUUUCUUUGGAUAAUUUUUCGGAUUUUUUUUUUAUUUAACCAAACUGACAAGCACACUUUUCUAUGAAAAAAAAAUUCCACGUAGAUGUAACUUUAACAGUAUAGGACACAAAAAUUUGUGUAUGUCAUAAAAUGUGGUAAUUUUGUAGUUACAAGAAAAUCUUUAAAAAUUAAUAACACCUAAACUAAACAUAGCCUAUCGUCGCAGCUGUAGGUAUUCUUUACUUAUAUGUAUAAGAAUAUUUCAAAAAAAUUGAAUAUAUUUCUCGGCAAAACUUUAGGUUCUAUGUGCUAUUUUAUUAUUUUUUUACACAGUGGUCUUAAACUUUUGACCGGUACUGUACUGUACAUUUUAGUGUAACCCAUUAUUUACCCUUUUCAAAGAAAACAAAUGAAUGGUGCAAAAUGAAUGAAAAAUGUGAAAAGAGGUACAGUCAAACCUCUAUCUAUCGAACUCGCAUGUAUCGAUUGUCCGUGUUUAUCGUAUACUUUCUACGGUCCCGGCAAUAUUGCCAUACAACUAAGGUUAAAAAAGUCCGCUUGUACAGAUGUUGGAAUUAUCGUUUUGUCCGCAUUGAUCGUACAAAAUAUGUGGUCCCGUCACUAUAAAUUAUAAUAGAUGAUCGUUUAACCAUAAAGAUUUUGCAGAAAUAACAAUUUCUUAGAAAGAAACCGUCAUAAAAACAGUAACGAUAGUAUACAGUAGUAAAAAUCACCUUAAAUCUGCAGCCAAGUAAUGGAUCACGUAAAUAUGAAGAAAAGACAAAUGAACAACACCUUACGAAGAAAUAUGGAUGAUGUACCAUAACUACAGUACAAACCCAAUUGUUAUCCUAAGAUAAUUACCAUAAAAAGAACUAAAGAUUCUUUGUCCAUACCAUAAUUACUACAGAAGCACGAUAGCUACCACAUUUGCACUACAGUUAUCGUAACAACCGAGAAGUAUAUUUACCGUGACGGUAAUGUAUUUAUUUAUGACAUAUUAAAAUUAAAGAACAUUAUUGAAAAAAAGGAUGUUACAUUUUUAUAUGUACGUUUGGCACAUGUUGCGAAGAAAUAAUGCGAUCUGAAAGAAUGCAGUACUACUACGAAAAGUGAAAAGGAUACUCGUGGAUUUUUAGGUUAUGGCAGUCUCUCGUUUUUCAGUAAUAUCGGCCGAAAAUUAACAAGCGUAUCGGAAGUCGGCAGAAAUGCCGAUUCAACUAAAUAUUGGCAAAAUCGGAUUCUUCAGUACAGCUCUACAUUUGAUGACAUUAGUAAACUAAUUUCAGACUUCAGGAUAUUGAAAAAGACUUUAAUUGCCAUGUAGAUUUAUUGUGUGUAUGUUUUUUUUUUUUUGGAAGUGUAAAUUGAAUUAAGUAAAAAAUACUUUCAUUUGUAUUUAUUUUUCAACUGAUUUAACUUUAAAGACAAGUAACUGAUAUAUUUCUGACACUAAUUUUGAGGUUGGAAUAUUAUUUUUUUAAAAAUUCUUAGAGUGAAGUCCACAUCUAUUGAAUGUCCGCAUCUACUGAAUUUUUUUGUUGGUCCCCUGAAAAACGAUAGAUAGAGGUUUGACUGUACAUUUAUUCUGCAAUAGCAUUAUGUGAGACCUCAGAAAAGUUAUAUAAAAUGCAUGAAGUUGUAAAAUCAGGUGUAGUUUGUUAGAAUUUAGUAAUUGACUAGUUAAUCAGCUUGAGAUUGUAUUUUUAAAUUAAAUCAUAACCUUAUGAAAUAUUUAAUGUGAAAAUGUUUUCCAUGGACCCUUCUUUGUGUGUUCAUUUUAUUUUGCAACAAAAUAUUACUGCGCUGCAGUUGUUUUAUGUUUACACAAUGUUUAGUUUUUUGCAAAUAAAAUGUGCAACAAAGUGUUUGGUAGUUGCAAUGCUGAAUUUUAAGGGGGCAGUUUUCUUAAUUAUUUUGCUAAUAAUUCUGGGUUUUUUUUCUAUGAUCUCAUUAAAAUCCAUAAAAAAACUUUGUUGUUUAUGUGUGUAUUUUUUUUUAAUUCACAUAGUAUUUAUUUUAUUGUUUUAGAAACUAUAAAGACCAAUCUAUUGUCAAUCAUGGCACGAACUGAGAUCAUAAAUUCAUUUUAUAUAUUGUUUUAAAUCAACCAUUUGAAUGUAAUUAAUUUUGUGUAACUUUUUUUUAGAAUUUUUUUCAGAAAUAUUAUUAAAUUAGGUUUUUUCAAAACUAUGAAAACCCAAGAUUCCAAGCAUUGAUGGACGUAGCCAUUUCUAACCACUGGAACGGAUGAUAAAAUUUAAGUUUUAUUAAACAUGGAAAAAUUAUAUAUUUAUUUUUAAAAAAAUAUAUUGAAGGAUUUAAAACAAAUUUUAUAGUGAUUAUCAUUGAUGAAAAAUUUAUUGACAAAAGGCCCUGAUGACUGGCGCUCCGUGGCAAAUGUAAGAACUUCUAGCUGAUUCAUAAAGGUAUAAAGAUGAGGUGAGGUUUGGAAAGGGUUAGAGACAUGCAGUCAGAAUCAAGAUUCAUUGGUGAUAAGCUGCUGGCAAGCCUAAGUAACAGUAGUAGGGGCAAGAGUGUAGGUGGAAAACAGUUAUUAUAGACUGACCAACUACACAGUGUUCCAAAGAUGGAGAGCAAAGAUUUUGCCCCAAUAUUUCUUCAGCAGCCGGAGGUGCUUUCACAGUUAAAUUUGUCUGCUCUGUAAUCAAGAGGACCCGGGUUUAAUUCCCAAAAGGGGUGGGAAGGGUAAUAUGCUCAUGUAGCCUUCUAUUAGACUGUAAGCUUGUCUUCAUUAAAGUUGGAAUAUUUACAAGACCUGUAAAUAAAUAAUUAAUCAAUAUCCUUAAAUUUUAUUGGAAGUUUGAGAGUUAAAGCUUUUGACAAAAGAUAGCAGUAGCAUCGACACUUCGUAAACAAAAAAGGUUUGCAGGCACAACCCGUAGCUCCGUAAAGGUUGGUUUGUUUGUAAGGGGGAGGGGGGCACGACAUACCUGCUCAUCUUCCCCCCGCUUCCCGCGGCUGAGACUAUUCAUCCUGAGCGACAAUGCUAAUGGAAUUUACCCUUUUGCCACCUCCCAUCCAGCAUUUUCUGUGUGAGCCUAGAAAUGAGAUAUCUAGGAUGAUGAAAUACGUGCAAAUCAUUACUCCAACAAAGAUAGGAUGUACUUUAUUCAAUUCAUUUAGUAAUGAAUUGAAAAUCUUGCAGAUAUUAUAACACGUAUACGUGUGCGUUUGUAUACACAUACCCUCACACGAAUCUGAAAGUCUGCAAGUCAUACAUUUGAAUAAUUUAAUUUUUUUACAUAUUAAAAAUCAAGCUGCAAAAUUUAGUGAAAAUAGGACUUAAUUUUUGUCCUUCACUUGACAAGUCCUCAGAAUUUUUUAUUUUGACAUUCAGUAUACAUUUUCUGAUGUAAAUUGCAGGUUUCCAAAAGGAUGAAAAUUUUUACUGUUUGCUCUGCGCCAUAGCGGCCGAAUCUGAGAUAUAUAUUCUGUGCAUAAGCAAAAUCUCAAACUUAAAUUUGAUGCAAUGCACUAUUAUUAAGCAACUCACACAAUAAAUGAAACUCAAGAAAGUAAGCCAGCACGAUACCUGUUGCUAGGUAGCAUUCAGUUUUGCUUCCUGGCUAUGUACCAUGCUACAAACCUUUUUGAAAUGAUUUUUUUUAAAACAAAUAUUUUAGCCUAUCCUACCUUUUGAAGGUAGUUUUUUCAUUAAUGUUCGGAUAAGUUAUUCUAUCAAUUGAGUUUUUUUUCUGCUAGAAAUUUUAAAGAAAAUAAUUUUUUGCGCAGUCUUUUUGUUUUAUUAUGAUUUUUCAAAACAAUACAUUGAUCACAACUUACAAUGUCCAGGUUAUUUUCGGCACAUAUUUACUGUAGCUCGUCGCUCGAUUAUUUACAAAAAUGGAAGUUCCUUAGUUAAGCUUUUAACUAAGGUACAAUAACCCAUGGAAUCAUCCUAGGGGAUGGCAAGGGUCACCCCGGGCCAAUGCUGACGUCUGGGGUAAAAUUUCUAUUUUAACAGUCCAAACGAAGAUUAAAAAAAAGUUAAAAUUCUGUCUGGCCCCAACCAGCAGGCAUUUAAUUUUAUCUCUUCAUGCAAUUCUCAAAUCAUUUUGUGAGCUGACGACGACGUGACCGCACAUGGCGACAAUCGAGCGACAACUAACAGAACAACAAAGUUGCCUUCCUGUAAAAAGGUAAAAAACAAAGAGAUGCAACCCCAUGGAUCACCUGGCCAUUCACAAAACAGAACCAGAUACAUGACCAUGUACAGAAUAAUAUGCUGCUAAAAUUGUUCUCUGAAAGUCUGGGAAGACACAUCACACCACCGCAUAGUUCUUCCUGAUUGGCUGGAGAGACAGUGCCUAGUGAACUUGCAGUUAUGCACCUACGUGCAGGGUUUUCCCAAAAAUGCACUAACUUGAAGCAUGAAAAAUAACUUACUGGCGACACAGUGUCAUGCCCGUGUCUCGCCUGUCUUCCUUUCUUUCAAAACCUUCUCAAAAUUUACAACCUCACUAACCAGGAGAUGCUUUAAAAGUGUAAAAAGUUAUUAAUACAUAUUAAUUUUUACUGAUAAAGCAAAACGGAAAAAAUUUUAAUAAAAAAUACAUUCAACUUUAAAUAAAACCUAACCAAAAUUAAUGAUUAAAUAAUAUUUAAAUAUAAAUAAAAUACCCUACCUGCCUAUGCUUAAUAGAAGAAACAUUAUUAUAUAAUAAUUAUGAAACCUUAAAACAACAGCUACAUAACACAUUCUCAGUUAAUGUUAUAAGUAGCAGGGGGCAGGAGUUAUGCUAUGUUUCAGUGUGAGGAAGUUGCCUCACAUUAACUACCAUAAGUUACUGUUGUUUUUCUUACUAAGAUUUAUAUGCAUGUUUAAAUAUAGUAUUUUUUUCUUUAGAAAUUGAUGUAAAUAUUUGACAAUUAGAGGAGGAUCUUGUUGCAGGGGGAAACCCACAAUUCGCCAUGAAUCGAACCAUGAUCGGCUGUGGUGGGAGGUGAUGGUCAAACUACUCAGUCAUCGCACCUCCCAUGUAUUUUGUUACAUGAUUGUUAUAUUUACUUUUUUAUCACAACUUAUAUUGAAUUAAUAUAAUACUACUGGAUUAACUUGACUGCAGCAAGAGUGUGGAUCAUAAAAACAACAUAAAUCCUUUGGAAGAAAAAUUUUAAAUAAUUAUUUUAAUAACUUGUACCCUAAUCAGUUGUCGAGACACAAAGAUCACUGGAAAAUUAACUUGGGCCUGGCACCAAACUUGAAGUAGUUCUUUGCUUAACAUUGCACCACUAUUAAAAUUAUUUUAUAGUUCUGUUAUUUAGUGUCUGAAAAUGUAGGGAUAUCUUCAUAUUUAAAAUUUUAAUUUUAUUUUAUUUAAAAAAAAAUAUUAAAUGAUUUUACUGAAAUCAGAAAGUAAGAAAGUUGCACUGAAAAUUGAAUGAAAACUAAAUGACUAAAAAUGAAUAACCAUAAACUUAACUUUAUUGUUUAUGAAUUUAAUUUAAUUAUUGAUAAACUUGUAAUUAAAAAACAUAUUUAAUGUAGUAAGAGUAGCAGAAUAUUGCAUAUUUUACUGGUGCUGGGUAGGAUAGGAAAUUUUGGUUCCGAAAUUUUUUGGGUGGGAAGUAAAAUUUCCCACAGGAAAAGCGACGGGAUCAGAAAUUAUUUGAGGUUACAAAAUUCAAUAAAUUCUUUCUAUUUCUAAGGAGAAAUGUCCUUUUUUUGUGUGCCCAAAAAUCUAGAAAAUAUUAGACUUGUGCGAAUAUUAGUUUUUUAGUUUGAAUCAAAUACAAAUACUGAAUAGUAAGAAUAAGAAUUAAAAUUAUAUGGAAAAAAAAUUUUUCACACCAAGUAAAAUAAAAAUAGGGAAAGAAGUAAAUGUGUUAUGUAGUUUGUGAGGAAAAAAGACAAAUAAUACUAAGUGAAAGGUUGGUUAGUUUAAGUCAGCUACAAUAAUUAUAUAUACAUUGUUUGUUGAAAUAUUUAAAUCACUAAAUAAAUAAUUGUGUUGUUAA